rnacentral:misc_RNA from 1 species
GAUGAAGAACGUAGCGAAAUGCGAUAAGUAGUGUGAAUUGCAGAAUUCAGUGAAUCAUCGAAUCUUUGAACGCACAUUGCGCCCCUUGGUAUCCCGAGGGGCAUGCCUGUUCGAGCGUCAUUUCACCACUCAAGCCUGGCUUGGUGUUGGGCGACGUCCUCUUUGGGGACGCGCCUCGAAACGCUCGGCGGCGUGGCACCGGCUUUAAGCGUAGCAGAAUCUUUCGCUUUGGAAGUCGGGGCCCCGUCUGCCGGAAGACCUGCUCGCAAGGUUGACCUCGGAUCAGGCAGGGAUACCCGCUGAACUUAAGCAUAUCAGUAAGCGGAGGA